rnacentral:rRNA from 1 species
GAUGAACGCUGGCGGCGUGCCUAAUACAUGCAAGUCGAGCGAACAGACGAGGAGCUUGCUCCUCUGACGUUAGCGGCGGACGGGUGAGUAACACGUGGAUAACCUACCUAUAAGACUGGGAUAACUUCGGGAAACCGGAGCUAAUACCGGAUAAUAUAUUGAACCGCAUGGUUCAAUAGUGAAAGACGGUUUUGCUGUCACUUAUAGAUGGAUCCGCGCCGCAUUAGCUAGUUGGUAAGGUAACGGCUUACCAAGGCAACGAUGCGUAGCCGACCUGAGAGGGUGAUCGGCCACACUGGAACUGAGACACGGUCCAGACUCCUACGGGAGGCAGCGGUAGGGAAUCUUCCGCAAUGGGCGAAAGCCUGACGGAGAAACGCCGCGUGAGUGAUGAAGGUCUUCGGAUCGUAAAACUCUGUUAUUAGGAAAGAACAAAUGUGUAAGUAAAUAUGCACGUCUUGACGGUACCUAAUCAGAAAGCCACGGCUAACUACGU